rnacentral:rRNA from 1 species
UACGUAGGGGUGCGAGCGUUGUCCCGGAUUUAUUGGGCGUAAAGGGCGCGUAGGCGGUGAGAUGCGUCUGUUGUGAAAUCGCUCGGCUCAACUGGGCGGGGUCAGCGGAUACGGUCUCACUUGAGCAAGCUAGGGGGCAAUGGAAUUCCCGGUGUAGUGGUGGAAUGCGUAGAUAUCGGGAGGAACACCAGUGGCGAAGGCGGUUGCCUGG